AUUAUAGUAUUUUAUAAAGGUAUUACCGAGGGAUCAAUGACGGAUUAUCUAAGAUUUUACUGACAAAAAAACCUCACUCGCUUAACCUUCGGGAAGUAAAACCUCCUAGCGAGGGAACAGCGACCGAUGGCAAAAAUUAGAGGCAUUUUUUUCUUGAACCUCGCCAAACCCUCGCAGAAGAUCUAUGCCUUCUUUUUUUCAUUUCCCGCUUUUCUUUCUAUUCUUGUUCCCUCAUUUUAUUCUCAUUCCCUCUAAAUUCUUCACAAAGCGAACAAUUUCCUUCCAAAGCCCUUAAUGACCGUCAAGUCUCUCCUCCACCUCGGAAAUCGCCUCCACCAUUGUCGAUCUGCAUCGCUCCUCUUUGAAGCCACUAAAAGGAAAACCUAAUCAGAAAUCACAUCCUUGUUGGCUUUCCUCUCGGUCCGUCACCCUUCCUUGUUGACCCACCACUUAAUUCCUAUCUAACGCCUUUCGAUCUAUUGGUUCAUCAUAUACUAUUGAUUUAGAUCAUACAACUACUCAGCAGCAACAGCGGCGUCGAUCACCAGCGGUGUCAAUCGCCUGAUAGGGUAGUGGCAGUGGUUCUGUUGGUGGUCUGGAACACUUUGAAAACUUUUAAUAAUUACAAAAAUUACUAAAACAAAAACGCACAACGAAAGAAAGAAAUCAAAAAAGCACAAUGAAAGCAAAAACGAUGGGUAGCAGCAAACAACUGAAAUCGACAGCUCCAAAAUGUUUGAAGGUUCCAAAAACGAUACAAGCAUCAAUCCCCGAUGUUAGGUUGCUAUGAAUUUCAAACAAUCAGUUCCAUACGCGCUUCUCCAGGUAAAUCAACUUACUACAGGCGAAGAUUAAAAAUACAUCUUCAAAAAAUUAGGGUACACAAGAUGACAAAUUGAAAAUCAUUACCAACUCUAAGCUUUUGGUAGGACUAGGAGGGGUAAAAUAGUCCAAUAAAAGACUUUAGCAUAUAAAUAGCACAGAGAACAUGUAUGUGUGUCAUGUAGCUCUUCAUGCUUUAAAGGACACAACUAUAAACAGUGAUCGAAAGAAUGUUGGAGAGUAUUUAAAACCUUGUAUGGAUGGUAUGGAAAACGAAAGUCACUCUGCUCUUCAUGGUGCAGGAGCUUUUUCUCUUUUAUUGAUCAGACCUCUAUACCAGACAACCCUGAUUCCUUGCAAACUUAGGAAGUUCUUCUGCCAGGUCACUUGGUUACAAUGUAUGUUAAGGUAAAAAUCAACUACGUUUAUUUAAGCAUACAUACAUUUUGAAAAAAUGGAAGAGUAGACAAUCUUUUCCUACUCAUUUUCAAGAUAAGCUUCAGGAAUGGCUGCUAAAAGCUAAAAAACUACUUCAAGAUGAAGUUGAUAACAGAAAGAAAAACUUUGAGUUUGGAAGUUUAGAUGAUGUGAAGAAGGCAUUGGAUAAGAAUCUUGCAAAACAAGUUGGUUCAGCUGUUGAAAAUAUGUUGAAGACUGGAAGAUUUGUUACACAGUUGACUCUUGAUUUGAAAGAGCUACUCAUUUCUUUAAUAAAUAUUGUAGAAAUUGUUUAAAACUUUUAACUUUGGGUAAUCCCAUUUGUUUGCUAGAAAGCUGGUAUGACAGUUCAAGCAGAAAGGCUGAAUUUUCUCAGAUUUUUGUCACAUUUUAGAGCUGUUCAUAGAGGUUCUUCACUUGCAGGACUUCAUACUACAAGUGUGCGUAAAUUGUUGUCAGAGUCAUGGGGUUUUGUAUUGUGACAUGUCCAUUUUCAUGGCCAGAAAAGACCGAUUUUGUUUAUGCUUUAUAAAAAUCAGAGUACUUGUUUUAAUAAAAAUGUUGCGGAAUUUGUUCCCAGUAAAACAUGAUAAAUACGUUAUCAAAG